CGGCGGACGAUUCGACCGAUCGUCCUCCGCUAUUUGUAGCCAAUCGGCAAUCCGCCACUUCGCUCUCGCUCUUCGUCUUCUUUCUCGAUCGCGGUCCUCGGGUCUCGAGGAAGAGCGGGAGCCCUCGUCGCGGAGAUGUGCUCUCUUAUCGUCAACGGAUUUUCUUGCUUGGUGUCUAGCAUGAUUUGAAUUUUUCUAUCUAUGCUGUGACGGGAAGUUUCUAAUUACUAAGUGAGGUGGGCAGCCUUCGUGGAGACCAGUCAUUCGAAAAGAAUUAGUCAGUGGUUAGUGUACACUUCUUGGAAUAAAAAUAGAAGAGAUGAACAGAAAGGUAUUGGAUAAAAGUGAAGGUGUUAUGCACAAUCUGAAGAGGAAGAGAGAAUCUGGUGCAUGUUUCACUACUUUUGGCCAUGGCCUAGUAGCAAAUCCACAAAUCCCAGAUCUAAGGGGUUGCAACAUAAAGCGUUGUACAAAUGAUUUCAGCUGCAGUAUUCAGAGUCAAAUUCUCAAUAAAUAUUGCAAUUUCACAAAAAGUGGUUUGCCAGGUCGGGUGCUAUCUUUCGAGGAUGGUGAAUGGAAAGAUUUUGCUGAGAAUAUCAUCAGUUUGGUCCAGGAAGAUUUCCGGCUAAAGAAGGCAAUUACUGAAGCAUAUUUUAAGAAUCAGCACUUUUUGUUAGACUUUGUCCACAUGGUAUACAUUGAUCUGAAAACAGGUUUACAGAAACCGAUCGCUUGGAUUGAUGCAGAUGGGAAAUGUUAUUUCCCGGAAGUAUGUCCUGAAAAUUAUGGAUUAAAUAGAUACCAUCAUUAUGGCAAGGGCAAACAAGUUCACAUGAUUUGUGAUCCAAAUGGGACACAUGAAAUUGAUGCCCGUUUGGAGAUUUCUGUUAGUGCAGCUGAAAGCUCAAGUUCAGGAUCUGAUGAUGAGGUUAUGUCCAAUGUCAAGAGGAUCAAGAGAGAAGAAAAUCCUUUAUGUGUUCAAGGCAAUGAGACUGUUGGAGAAAAUGAGCCAUGUCCAUUUCUCCCUUCAGAUAUUUCUGCUUUAGAAAGUUGGCAAGAAAAGAAGGUUAGACCUGCUGGUGAUCCACGAGUCAGUGCUGUGCUGGACUUGUUACUCAAGAGUUUGGGCCAAGUAAUUGAUGCAAAGGACAUUCUUAGGAUCCUUAAAACUCCAGCAAAAAAUGACUUAGGUAUGGUUCGAUUUAGCCUUUUUCAAGAGCAAGCUAUGGUCACCCAAAAAGUCCGUGGCAAUGCAAAUGUUCGUUAUGCCUGGCUUAGUACCUCCAAGGACGUUGUGGAAGAGGUGAUGUCGAAGGGAGUUUUGAAGAAACCUAUACAGAAGCCUGCUUUUGGCAAUGGCAUUCAUCUGGCACCGGCAAAUUGUUCAAAUAUACGUGCAAGCUGUUCUGAUAUUGACGAAAAUGGUGUUGUCCAUAUGAUGUUGUGCCGUGUAAUUAUGGGGAACAUGGAGCUGAUUCCGAUGGGAUCCAUGCAGCAUCAGCCCAGCAAUGAAAAUUUUGACAGUGGCAUAGAUGAUCUUCAAAAUCCAAAGCGUUAUAUUAUAUGGGACUUGAAUAUGCAUACUCAUAUUUAUGCAGAAUAUAUUGUAACUUUAAACUUGCCAACCAAUGCUAAAGAAGGUUUGGUCAGGGAAGCCAGUAUAUCUAAUGUAUCUGCUUUGACAAAUUCUUAUUCACCUCACAGUUUAUUUCAGGAUAAGUGUCAGCCAUCUCCAGUUGUGGGAAAUCAAUCUACAGGUUUAUUGUCAGGCCGAGCUCCAAAAACUCCAACUUCGCCAUGGAUGCCAUUCUCAAUGUUGUUUGCUGCAAUUUCAACUAAAGUACCUCCUGAAGACAUGGAUUUAGUUAAUACUCAUUAUGAAGAUUUUAAGAAGAAGAAGAUAAGCAGGAUUGACCUGAUUAAAAAGUUACGCCAGAUAGUUGGUGAUAAAUUGUUGGUUUCUACAAUAAUGAGGCUGCAACACACGAUAUGAUCUUUUGCCAUAUGAGGAAACAUACAUAGAUUUAGUCAUACAACUUAGGGAUCUCUUAUUUCGAGCUUCAGUUAUUUUAAUGGUUUAUCUUGGUCUUGCUGGCUCCUGUGAAUUUCUUUACCACCAAUGGCCAGACAUCCACCUCCAAAAUCCUGGUCCAAGGAGCUGCAAACCAAGCCUGGAAAUGGUGGAAGCCCCUCCUUGUUUCCAGGUUGGUGUUAGUUAGUAUAUGGGUCAUAUCUUAAUGGUGUUAGCGGACUCAAACAGGCUGAUGAUACAGGGAACUACUAGUUCAUGCUCUGUAGGAACACAUGACAGUCUUUUAUUUCGUUAUAAAUGUGUGUUGAUCCUUGGCAUC